GUUGUUGCAGUUAAAAAGCUCGUAGUUGAAUUUGUGAUGUGUCCAGUCGGCCUUUGCUCUUUGAGUGAUUGUGCUGUUAUUGGUCCGUCAUGUUUGGGUGGAAUCUGUGUGGCAUUAGGUUGUCGUGCAGGGGAUGCCCAUCGUUUACUGUGAAAAAAUUAGAGUGUUCAAAGCAGGCUUAUGCCGUUGAAUAUAUUAGCAUGGAAUAAUGAUAUAGGACCUUGGUACUAUUUUGUUGGUUUGCGCACUAAGGUAAUGAUGAAUAGGGACAGUUGGGGGUAUUUGUAUUCCAUAGUCAAAGGUGAAAUUCUUGGAUUUUAGGAAGACAAACUACUGCGAAAGCAUUUACCAUGGAUGUUUUCAUUAAUCAAGAACGAAAGUUAGGGGAUCGAACAUGAUUAGAUACCAUCGUAGUCUUAACCAUAAACUAUGCCAACUAGGGAUUGGCGGAGUCUCGUAUCGUCUUCGUCAGCACCUUGUGAGAAAUCAUAAUUCUUUGGGUUCCGGGGGGAGUAUGGUCGCAAGGCUGAAACUUAAAGAAAUUGACGGAAGGGCACCACCAGGAGUGGAGCCUGCGGCUUAAUUUGACU
rnacentral:rRNA from 1 species